UUCGUGUAUAUUUGGUUUCGUGGAUUUGCUAAUAUCAGCAUAUAAAGCCUGUAGAAAAAGUAGUCUUUCGUUGAACAUCUAAUUUGUUGAACACCUUAGCCUACGAAACAUACAGAAAUUGAUGUCCAACGAAUAAUAAUGAUUCCAAAAGUAAUAAUAAAGAAAACACAUAUUAUAUGUCAAUUUCAAAAGUCUUUUUUUACCCCCACUUUUCAUCGAGAUAUUUUCUGAAUUUUCGAUACAUAAUAUAGCUUUCUUUGAAAAACUGUUGUAACAAUGUAUUGUUUAAAACUGUCCUAAUAUCUUUAGGCGGUACUUUAAAAUAUAUAUGAAUCUAAAUCGCUAUGGGCGUGCUAAUCGCUAACCCGUUAAUGUACAAUAGUUUGACGUUCCGUGGCAAUAUCGAUAUCAGCCCUCCAAAUUAUACCUAGCCCCCAAAUUUAUUUUCCGGUAACUAGUCAAUAAAAAACUAUUUGUUAAAAAGAUGUCAUCUGAGGCAGCCAGACAAACAGGAGCAAUUUCUCCCAGUUUCAAAUGACGAUGCAAGUAAAUUCAUACAAGAAUCCGUACGGUGAGUUAUAUUUGUUAAUUUCUGUGUCAUGGAGAGUUAUCUUAUUGGCAAUCAUACCACAUAUUAUUUUUUUUAUGAUCACAAACUUUCCCGUAAAAUGUUGACGUUAUAAUUGGAAAUAUAUGACGCCACAAUGAAAAAGUGAUCAUCAUACAGGUUUUUUGAGUUUUUUUUUUAAAAUAUUCAACAUAAUUUGAUAGAUGCUUUUUUAUCCAGCUUGAAAUAUGUGAUAAAUAGAUUAAUACAUG
rnacentral:lncRNA from 1 species